GACGAACGCUGGCGGCGUGCCUAAUACAUGCAAGUAGAACGAGUGGCGGACGGGUGAGUAAUGUCUGGGAAACUGCCUGAUGGAGGGGGAUAACUACUGGAAACGGUAGCUAAUACCGCAUACCAUCAGAUGUGCCCAGAUGGGCUUAGCUUGUUGGUGGGGUAACGGCUCACCAAGGCGACGAUCCCUAGCUGGUCUGACAGGAUGACCAGCCACCCUGGAACUGAGACACGGUCCAGACGCCUACGGGAGGCAGCAGUGGGGAAUAUUGCACAAUGGGCUCAAGCCUGAUGCAGCCAUGCCGCGUGUAUGAAGAAGGCCUUCGGGUUGUAAAGUACUUUCAGCGGGGAGGCGUUACCCGCAGAAGAAGCACCGGCUAACUCCGUGCCAGCAGCCGCGGUAAUUC
rnacentral:rRNA from 1 species